rnacentral:rRNA from 1 species
CAUGGCUCAGGACGAACGCUGGCGGCAUGCCUAAUACAUGCAAGUAGAACGCUGAAGAGAGGAGCUUGCUCUUCUUGGAUGAGUUGCGAACGGGUGAGUAACGAGUAGGUAACCUGCCGGGGAGCGGGGGAUAACUAUUGGAAACGAUAGCUAAUACCGCAUGAAAUUGAAUAUCGCAUGAUACUUAAUUGAAAGAUGCAACUGCAUCACUACCAGAUGGACCUGCGUUGUAUUAGCUAGUUGGUGAGGUAACGGCUCACCAAGGCAACGAUACAUAGCCGACCUGAGAGGGUGAUCAGCCACACUGGGACUGAGACACGGCCCAGACUCCUACGG